UACGUAGGGUGCGAGCGUUAAUCGGAAUUACUGGGCGUAAAGCGUGCGCAGGCGGUUUUGUAAGCCAGAUGUGAAAGCCCCGGGCUUAACCUGGGGAAUGGCAUUUGGGACUGCAAGGCUAGAGUGCGGCAGAGGAGACUGGAAUUCCUGGUGUAGCAGUGAAAUGCGUAGAUAUCAGGAGGAAUACCGAUGGCGAAGGCAGGUCUCUGGGCUGACACUGACGCUCAUGCACGAAAGCGUGGGGAGCAAACAGG
rnacentral:rRNA from 1 species